CGGGGCCGCCUCGGUGCCCGUUUACUGCGCGCGGCAGCCACUCUGGAGCCGGCGCACAUCUGGAUGGAGUCAGGCCCAGCGCCCGGGCCGGCGCCCAGCCAGUCCCCACCCGCUGGAUUUCCUGAUGUAAACAGAGCAAGAACACAGCAACUCUGCUGAAUGUGUCACGCGGCGCUCUUUAUCUGCUUGGGGUCAAGACGGCGACUUAGAAAAACAGAAGCGUUGCUUUGAAUUUAAACAGCUAAGAGCCAGAGCCGAGACUGGUCUGCAGGGGGGAGGGCGAAGGCCUCCAGACCCACCUCCCGCUUUUGUGCCUACUUGUUCCACUUGAUGAGGAACUAAAAAGCCUCUUCAUGAAAGUGAAAGAGGAGAGUGAAAAAGUUGGCUUAAAGCUCAACAUUCAGAAAACUAAGAUCAUGGCAUCUGGUCCCAUCACUUCAUGAGAAAUAGAUGGGGAAACAGUGUCAGACUUUAUUUUUUUGGGCUCCAAAAUCACUGCAGAUGGUGAUUUCAGCCAUGAAAGUAAAAGACGCUUACUCCUUGGAAGGAAAGUUAUGACCAACCUAGACAGCAUGUUCAAAAGCAGAGACAUUGCUUUGCCAACAAAGGUCCAUCUAGUCAAGGCUAUGGUUUUUCCAGUGGUCAUGUAUGGAUGUGAGAGUUGGACUGUGAAGAAAGCUGAGUGCCGAAGAAUUGAUGCUUUUUAACUGUGGUGUUGGAGACACCUCUUUUGAGUCCCUUGGACUGCAAGGAGAUCCAACCAGUCCAUUCUGAAGGAGAUCAGCCCUGGGAUUUCUUUGGAAGGAAUGAUGCUAAAGCUGAAACUCCAGUCCUUUGGCCACCUGAUGCGAAGAGUUGACUCAUUGGAAAAGAGUCUGAUGCUGGGAGGGAUUGGGGGUGGUAGGAGAAGGGGACGACAGAGGAUGAGAUGGCUGGAUGGCAUCACCGACUCGAUGGACAUGAGUCUGGGUGAACUCCGGGAGUUGGUGAUGGACAGGGAGGCCUGGCGUGCUGCAAUUCAUGGGGUUGCAAAGAGUCGGACAUGACUGAGUGACUGAACUGAACUGAACUGAUGGUAGAAUAUAUUGAUUGAUUUUCAAAUACUGACUAGCCUUGCAUAUUUGGAAUAAUCCCAGUUGGUCACUUUGUAUUGUUCUUUCUAUACACUAUUGGAUUUAAUUUGCUGAUAUUUUCUGAGGAUUUUGUGUCUAGGUUCAUUAGUUAUAUUGAUUGAUAGACUUGUAUCACUGUCUUUGUCUAGUUUUGGUUUCAAGAUAGUACUGACAUCAGAAAAUGAGUUGGAAGUGUUUCUUCCUUUUUCAUUAUCUGGAAGAGAUUAUAUAAGAUUAGUUUUAAACUUUUCUCUUGUAAUUUUCUUUGAUCUGAA
ensembl:lncRNA